CAGGUUGUGACACAAUCAAAGAAUAAAUAAAUCUCUUCAGUAGAUUGCAGUCAGAGCUUUUGCCAACUUAGAAAAGAAAAGAAACAAUAUGACAGUGGUAUCGCAAAUACAGGAUAUGAAGUCUGCAGAUAUGGAGAACUGACUGUAAUCCCAACAUUUAAUUGCUGAGUAAAGAAUGAGGAAUCUACUAUACAGACAAAAGGAAUAUCCAAAAAGGUGAAGAGCUGAGCAUGUUUAAUUACUGAUGAGAAGAAUCUAGUCAGGAGGAAGCUGUUGAAGAUGCAGGAGAAGGGGAGAACUGUCACUGGGGUAAGGUUUUCAAGUAAGGAGGAGGGACAGGCUCCCUAGCAUGCGUGGAAAGUGAAAUUAAGUUUUUCUGAGCUUUAAUUAUGUGCCAGGAUCUCUUCACAAUGAUGGAAAUUUGUGUGUUGUUUUUUUUCUUUUCUUUUUCAUCCUCACACCAUGUUUUGAAGUAAUUCUUACC